UACGGAGGGUGCGAGCGUUAUUCGGAAUUACUGGGCGUAAAGCGCGUGUAGGCGGGAGGGCAAGUCUGAUGUGAAAGCCCCGGGCUUAACCUGGGAAGUGCAUUGGAAACUGCAUUUCUUGAGUGCUGGAGAGGAAGGGGGAAUUCCCGGUGUAGAGGUGAAAUUCGUAGAGAUCGGGAGGAAUACCAGUGGCGAAGGCGCCCUUCUGGACGGCAACUGACGCUGAGACGCGAAAGCGUGGGGAGCAAACAGG
rnacentral:rRNA from 1 species